GGGCAUGUGGUCUAAUGGAUAUGACGCUCUAUACUCCGACUAGUCGUCUGCAGAUUCUGCAAGACGCUCGUCAGUGGCUGUCAGGGUUAUGCCCCGACUGCUAGGGAGAUGCGAGUUCGAGUCCCGCCAUGUCCA